rnacentral:lncRNA from 1 species
GCAGGAAACUUGAAGAAAUUAUUGGGGAGCUGAGGCCUCUUAGCUGCUGUUGCCGAAGGAUGAGCGCCAACUCCAGCUGCAAUCGCGGCUUCCAUGCUGAGAGAAAAAAGCGCACUUUAGCUAGUCCGAAAUACGGUAUACUUGAGAUGAGAGUUCGGCACCUGUCCAUUCCUCGAAACCUUUGGCAACUACAGUCUGAGGUGUCCCAUCCCUGAAAGCAGGCACUUUGCUUGAGUCACUAUCAUGAGGAGUAGCAACAACGAGGGCAAACGCAUCGAAAACUCAUCCACGACAGCAUCUCUAUAGAGCAUACUCCAAACCACGGCCGCAUUUCCAAUGAACCAGCCGAGCAGCCGAUAUCGACACAAAUGGAGGACCCCUUCUUGCUUACUUCCGUUAUCUACACCAUAGCCCGGACUAGACCAGAGAGAGCGGGAGAGAGGAACCUC